UACGUAGGGGGCGAGCGUUGUCCGGAAUUAUUGGGCGUAAAGAGCGUGUAGGCGGUUCGGUAAGUCUGCCGUGAAAACCUGGGGCUCAACCCUGGGCGUGCGGUGGAUACUGCCGGGCUAGAGGGUGGUAGAGGCGAGUGGAAUUCCGUGUGUAGCGGUGAAAUGCGUAGAUAUCAGGAAGAACACCCGUGGCGAAGGCGGUUCUCUGGGACGGUACUGACGCUGAGACGCGAAAGCGUGGGGAGCGAACAGG
rnacentral:rRNA from 1 species